AUUGCUAGAUCCAUUUGCAAAGAGACAGGGCAGAUACUCUCGGAUCUGUCUUCCCGAUGCAGGCUUGGGGCAAAAUUUAUGGGAUGAAGAGCAGGACCCUCUGAAAUGUGGAGAUGGGUGAUGGGAGUCUUCAGAAUUGGCGAUGAUCUGAAUAAAAGUUCCCAAGAAGCUAUCCAGCCUUUUGCGAUGCCUGCCAGAUCAUGGCUUGAUAAGAGGUGCACAGGUCUACACCCAGGAUCUGACCAGCAAACCCUGGGCCGCUGAAGCAGAGCAUGCAAACUUAACUUCUGUGCCACCGGGCUGGCCCCUCCUGUCAGUUUUUAGCUUAAACAAAUAGUAACAAUAUCUGGCAGUAUUAAACAACUCCAUAGACCCAAGAGGUGUCCUCAAAGGUUGCUACCUCCCCAAGAUGCAGAGUCAUUCCCAAAGAUAGCCAAAAGAAAGAACUACAGCCUGCACGCAUGUCCCAGGCAGGCAGAAACUUAAGCCAAGCCUUUAGCAGACAAAACAACGCAAGCAAGAAGGCAAUAGCUAUCUCUGGGAAAGGAAAGGUCAAUAACCAAUGAAU
rnacentral:lncRNA from 1 species